ACGGAUGGGUAAACUGAGGCCGGAGGCUGGGGCUCAGUUCAGAUCCCGCCGCCGAGGUCGCGCGGGGCCCCGGAGGCCGGGUGACGCGGGGCGCAGCCUGGGCCAGCCCCCGCCCUGCCCCUGGCGGGCUGAACGGUGACCUCGGGCGAGUGAAUUCGCGCCUCCACCCCUGGCCGGCUCUGACUCGGCCGCGCUGAGCCCGGGGCGUCGGUGUAGGGGAGCCCAGCAAAUACGACAGCCACCUGCACGCCUUCAGCUUGUGCUGGGUUUUUCUGGACAAUGCCUUGGACUUGCAGAGAAAAGCCCUGGGAUCGAAUCUGACCACAGCUGCCUACCCAGUGACCUUAAUCUUCACAGCCGCUCUUUCAGCUAUUCUCUCAGUUUUACACCCAAGGCAUUGUGACUCCGAGAGGUUAAAUACUUCUCCCAAGGGAUACUGCUGAGCCGUGGAACCAAGGCCACUGAUUGAAACUGCAUGCUCUUUCCAGGAAAGUAUGUUCCCUCCAGCCAGUGGAGUCACUCUAUCAGCGGAGGCCGACCAGGAUGUCCAUCCACUUUGUGUCCAAUGAUGGGAUGCUGUUCUUGAUGGCUGCGUGGUCUCCCAUCGUGUAUGUACCAUGUCUUCCCAAUCCACUCCUCGGUUGUUGGACACUUCGGUUGCUUCCCUGACUUAGCUAUUGUGUAUCAUGCUGCAGUGAACACAGAGGUACUGUCUCUCCAGCUGAGUGAGUUCCUGUCUUUUGGUGUGAUCUCAUUUGUAAUGCUCUUGAAGAUGGCUCUUAAAGGCCCAGCUGCAGUGCUGCUCAAGUAGUGCCACUGCUGGGGAGACUGCAAGUCCCGCGGGAGACCCAGGUUUGGUUCCCAGGCCGACCUGAACACGCCGGGAGUCGUUGUGCACACCUGUAAUUCUGGCUAAUUGGGAGGCUGGGCCAGAGGAUCCUGACAGGGUGCGACUCUGUAACAAAUACCUGUCUCUGUCCCUCUCCCUUUCCCUCAUCUCUCUUUCUU